rnacentral:rRNA from 1 species
UGGGGAAUAUUGCACAAUGGGCGCAAGCCUGAUGCAGCCAUGCCGCGUGUGUGAAGAAGGCCUUCGGGUUGUAAAGCACUUUCAGCGAGGAGGAAGGUGGUGAGCUUAAUACGCUCAUCAAUUGACGUUACUCGCAGAAGAAGCACCGGCUAACUCCGUGCCAGCAGCCGCGGUAAUACGGAGGGUGCAAGCGUUAAUCGGAAUUACUGGGCGUAAAGCGCACGCAGGCGGUUUGUUAAGUCAGAUGUGAAAAUCCCCGGGCUCAACCUGGGAACUGCAUUUGAAACUGGCAAGCUAGAGUCUCGUAGAGGGGGGUAGAAUUCCAGGUGUAGCGGUGAAAUGCGUAGAGAUCUGGAGGAAUACCGGUGGCGAAGGCGGCCCCCUGGACGAAGACUGACGCUCAGGUGCGAAAGCGUGGGGCAGCAAACAGGAUUAGAUACCCUGGUAGUCCACGCUGUAAACGAUGUCGAUUUGGAGGUUGUGCCCUUGAGGCGUGGCUUCCGGAGCUAACGCGUUAAAUCGACCGCCUGGGGAGUACGGCCGCAAGGUUAAAACUCAAAUGAAUU